GUAGGUGGCAAGCGUUGUCCGGAAUUAUUGGGCGUAAAGCGCGCGCAGGCGGUUUUUUAAGGUCUGAUGUGAAAGCCCACGGGCUCAACCGUGGAGGGUCAUUGGAAACUGGAGAACUUGAGUACAGACGAGGAAAGCGGAAUUCCACGUGUAGCGGUGAAAUGCGUAGAGAUGUGGAGGAACACCAGUGGCGAAGGCGGCUUUCUGGUCUGUAACUGACGCUGAGGCGCGAAAGCGUGGGGAGCAAACAGGAUUAGAUACCCUGGUAGUCCACGCCGUAAACGAUGAGUGCUAAGUGUUAGGGGGUUUCCGCCCCUUAGUGCUGCAGCUAACGCAUUAAGCACUCCGCCUGGGGAGUACGGCCGCAAAGGCUG
rnacentral:rRNA from 1 species